rnacentral:lncRNA from 1 species
GAUUCUUUAAGGUGAAUUACUAGUUUUACUGCAUCCUUGUAGUCUCCUUCCUCCUGAUUUAACACAUUUUCGAAGAUUUGGCACCAUUUGAGACCCAAAAAAUAGCUAAAAUUUUAAGCUGGUUAAAACUUAAAGGAAACCAACAAGGUACACACUUAACAGCCUAAUACGCCUCACAUGACUACAAAUCAAUUACGUCAAAAAAAUUAACCACAACAUAAAUCUCCCCCAGACUUAUUCCAACAAGAAGAUUUGUCUACAGAGACCAAAUAUGUUGCUGCUAAAUAUUCCAUUUUUGAGGACUCAUGAGCAAUUUAGGGCUUAGGUGAACAGAUCUUCGACUUGAGAACAGGGGAUGGGCUGACUUCUAAUUAGGGGACAAAGAAAGAAAAGCAAAUGGCGUAUAUGCAAAGGCUUUUUCGACAAGGGUUGUUGGUGGGUGAGGUCAUUAGGAGUGGGUUGAGAUCUGCAAUUGGAG